GUCCACGCCGUAACGAUGGAUACUAGCUGUUCGGAGCAAUCUGAGUGGCUAAGCGAAAGUGAUAAGUAUCCCACCUGGGAGUACGUUCGCAAGAAUGAAACUCAAAGGAAUUGACGGGGCCCGCACAAGCGGUGGAGCAUGUGGUUUAAUUCGAUGAUACGCGAGGAACCUUACCAAGGCUUAAAUGUAGAUUGACCGGUUUGGAAACAGAUCUUUCGCAAGACAAUUUACAAGGUGCUGCAUGGUUGUCGU
rnacentral:rRNA from 1 species